rnacentral:rRNA from 1 species
CCUACGGGGAGCAGCAGUGGGGAAUAUUGGACAAUGGGCGAAAGCCUGAUCCAGCCAUGCCGCGUGUGUGAAGAAGGCCUUCGGGUUGUAAAGCACUUUCAGUGGGGAAGAAAGCCUUGGGGCUAAUACCCUCGAGGAAGGACAUCACCCACAGAAGAAGCACCGGCUAACUCCGUGCCAGCAGCCGCGGUAAUACGGAGGGUGUGAGCGUUAAUCGGAAUUACUGGGCGUAAAGCGCGCGUAGGCGGUCUGAUAAGCCGGUUGUGAAAGCCCCGGGCUCAACCUGGGAACGGCAUCCGGAACUGUCAGGCUAGAGUGCAGGAGAGGAAGGUAGAAUUCCCGGUGUAGCGGUGAAAUGCGUAGAGAUCGGGAGGAAUACCAGUGGCGAAGGCGGCCUUCUGGACUGACACUGACGCUGAGGUGCGAAAGCGUGGGUAGCAAACAGGAUUAGAUACCCGUGUAGUC